UUAACCUACGGGAGGCAGCAGUGAGGAAUAUUGGUCAAUGGCCGGAAGGCUGAACCAGCCAAGCCGCGUGAGGGAGGAAGGCGCAGAGCGUCGCAGACCUCUUUUGCCGGGGGACAAAAGGCCGGACGGGUCCGGUUCUGAGGGUACCCGGAGAAAAAGCAUCGGCUAACUCCGUGCCAGCAGCCGCGGUAAUACGGAGGAUGCGAGCGUUAUCCGGAUUCAUUGGGUUUAAAGGGUGCGCAGGCGGGCCUUUAAGCCGGCGGG
rnacentral:rRNA from 1 species